rnacentral:rRNA from 1 species
AAUGAACGCUGGCGGCGUGCUUAACACAUGCAAGUCGCACGAGAACGCUUCAGCUUGCUGAGGCUAGUAAAGUGGCGCACGGGUGAGUAACGCGUGGGUAAUCUGCCUCUGAAUUGGGGAUAACACUGCGAAAGCGGUGCUAAUACCGAAUGACAUUCCUUGAAUUCCGGUUCUGGGAAUCAAAGGUGGCCUCUAUAUAAAAGCUACCGUUUGGAGAUGAGCCCGCGUACCAUUAGCUUGUUGGUGGGGUAACGGCCCACCAAGGCGACGAUGGUUAGCUGGUCUGAGAGGAUGAUCAGCCACACUGGAACUGACACACGGUCCAGACUCCUACGGGAGGCUG